rnacentral:rRNA from 1 species
AACGAACGCUGGCGGCAUGCCUAACACAUGCAAGUCGAACGAGACCUUCGGGUCUAGUGGCGCACGGGUGCGUAACGCGUGGGAACCUGCCCUUAGGUUCGGAAUAACUCCCCGAAAGGGGUGCUAAUACCGGAUAAUGUCUUCGGACCAAAGAUUUAUCGCCUGUGGAUGGGCCCGCGUUGGAUUAGCUAGUUGGUAGGGUAAAAGCCUACCAAGGCGACGAUCCAUAGCUGGUCUGAGAGGAUGCUCAGCCACACUGGGACUGAGACACGGCCCAGACUCCUACGGGAGGCAGCAGUGGGGAAUCUUGGAUAGUGGGCGAAAGCCUGAUCCAGCUAUGCCGCGUGAGUGAUGAAGGCCUUAGGGUUGUAACGCUCUUUUACCCGGGAUGAUAAUGACAGUACCGGGAGAAUAAGCUCCGGCUAACUACGUG